rnacentral:rRNA from 1 species
GUGGCAGCCGCCGCGGUAAUACCGGCAGCCCGAGUGACGGCCGAUAUUAUUGGGCCUAAAGCGUCCGUAGCUGGCCGAACAAGUCCGUCGGGAAAUCCACGUGCUUAACGCGUGGGCGACCGGCGGAAACUGCUCGGCUUGGGGCCGGAGGACCCGAGGGGUACGUCCGGGGUAGGAGUGAAAUCCCAUAAUCCCGCACGGACCACCGAUGGCGAAAGCACUUCGAGAAAACGGAUCCGACAGUGAGGGACGAAAGCCAGGGUCUCCAACCGGAUUAGAUACCCCUGUAGUCC